ACUCUGAUAGUUUUGAUGGGUGACUGUCCUCCUUUGAGGUCUGCAAGUUAGCUUCCCAUGUGCCUUACAAGUGGGUAGCACCUUAGAAUUGGUGUUCCACCCCUGUACAUGGAGGAGUGCCUCAGAUCAGCUUGAUUCCACCAUGUACCUUGCCCGUGGGGGAGCACCUUGGACCAAGUUGCUUUCAGUAUGUGCCCUGUGCAGAAGGGAACACCUCAAGUCCGGUCGUCCUCUUGCCAUGCACAUUGCUCCUAUGGCGGGGCUCACUUUUGCCGCAUGCAGAGUGGAAGAUGAGAACAAAUAGAAUAUCCUUUGUUUGGUUCUAACUAAAUGCUUUGAUAUCCAUAGUGUGAUUUUGCACUCGUGGGUUUUAAUAUUACAUGAAUUUAUUCAGUAUGUUGUGCUCAUGCAUGCCAAGUGUUCGACUAAUUGCAUCACUUGGUUUACAUGGGCAUCUCAGCAUAAGAAUAAAGUAAAAUCAAUGUCAAAGGCAUGGGGUACUACAUUUUUUAAGUUUUGAUUCACAAGUUGUACCAGUUGCUUCUUUUAAUUUUGUCAUCAGAGUCGUAGGUGGACUUUUGAGUCCUUACAAUCUGUAUUUUGUUGGAGAGGAGGGCAAAAGGUUUAUCCAUUGGAUCAAUUGGCAUCAUUGGAUUCUCU